ACGCACGCUGGCGGCGUGCUUAACACAUGCACGUCGAACGGUGAACUCCGCUUGCGGGGGGAUCAGUGGCGAACGGGUGAGUAACACGUGGGCAACCUGCCCUCAGCUCUGGGAUAACUCCAAGAAAUUGGGGCUAAUACCGGAUAUGACCGCUGACCGCAUGGUCUGGUGGUGGAAAGAUUUAUCGGCUGGGGAUGGGCCCGCGGCCUAUCAGCUUGUUGGUGGGGUAGUGGCCUACCAAGGCGACGACGGGUAGCCGGCCUGAGAGGGUGACCGGCCACACUGGGACUGAGACACGGCCCAGACUCCUACGGGAGGCAGCAGUGGGGAAUAUUGCGCAAUGGGCGAAAGCCUGACGCAGCGACGCCGCGUGGGGGAUGACGGCCUUCGGGUUGUAAACCUCUUUCAGCAGGGACGAAGCGAAAGUGACGGUACCUGCAGAAGAAGCACCGGCCAACUACGUG
rnacentral:rRNA from 1 species